UGCGUCUACUCCACACAAUAGGCGCCGUUCACUAAAAUAAAGGAGGACAAACAUCCGUUGACUCGCGGUGCGGCAGUGUGGAGACCUGUCGUAAUGCGUUCGCUGUUUUACCCGGCGUCCGCGAGGGCAUACAUUGAGGAUUCAGUAUGCCUGGAGUCGUAAAAGUAUGGCA
rnacentral:ncRNA from 1 species